CAUAUUUCAGACGUAGUUUUUCACACAAUGCUGUUUUUAUUUACGUAGAAAUUCUUAUGUAUUAACUGGAUUUAAAAGCGUAUUAUAAAAUUGAUUAUUCAUCGCCCAACAUUUCCGCACAUCAUUUAUCUAUCCCCUCCCCCAAAAUUUGACCAUCCAUUCAUUUCUACCUAAAGUUUGGAAAGACCCUAACAGUUAAGUACCUAAUCGGUGAAAGUUCAGUAUUAGUGAAAUAACACGCGGCAAGAAUAUAAUUUAAAAAUGCUUUAUAAUAAAUCGGUGAAACUGACCUCUGGUGAAAUUAUAUAUAAAGAGUUUCUAAUUAAGAACCAAAAGGAGCUGCUUUACAAUAUAAACCAGUCUAUAAGAAGUAUCGAAGAAAAGAUAGAUCAGGAAGAAGAUGACGCUUUGGCAUAUUUUGACUAUAUUAACAGAGAAUACCCUUCAGACGAUGAAUAUGAAGAAGUCUCGUACUACCGUAAAGCUGUAAUCAAGAAAAUUGCUGAUUGUUUGAAUAGAGAAAUAAAUCCCCUAAUUGAAAAAAAACAAGAGCUGGAGGAUAUUAAAAACAUGUUACAAAUUAGGCUGCGCAUUCUUCGACAUGAGGCUGCCAAUCAACGAAAAUGAAAGUUGAUUACGUGUACCAGAUCUUUGCCAAGCAUCUUCUUAAAUUAAGUUCGAAUUUUUAAAUUUUGUCACAUAAAUAAAAUGAAAUCAAAUAGGUUUUUUGU